CACUAAUAAAAAUAUUAAAGAGAAUGGGUCCAAGUUCAGGGAUCUGUACUUGGACCCAUUCUCUUUAAU